GACCAUGUAGUGUAGUGGUUUUAUGUUGAACCAGGACCCCAGAGGGCCAGGGUUUGAGUCCCUGCUUGAUCA